rnacentral:misc_RNA from 1 species
GGAAGGAUCAUUACCACGUAUCCACGUUAUCCACCCUCAGCGCACUCUCGUUUUUACCCGCUCCUCCUUCUUCACAUAUAUGGCCUUAGUGCACAAUUGGGCAAUCUGAUGGCGAUACAUCUGCAUGAGCUUCGGCUUACAACGAUGGACUCGAACGCGAUUGUGCAUGACAUUACAUAACAGUGGGAAGGGUGGAAAAAUCUUCGCUGUACCAUAGGUGCCCAUCUCACACCUCGUACAGUGGGGAGAAAAUUACACUAACGUUUAUCACCCCCUAUUUUGCUAGUUGACUUUUUAUGUUGUCUUCAGUGUGAUGAAUUUCAUGCUGGAUUCACACGUUUAAUUAAUUGAACGUUAAAAUUACAACUCUUAGCAAUGGAUAUCUAGGUUCUCGCAACGAUGAAGAACGCAGCGAAAUGCGAUACGUAAUGCGAAUUGCAGAAUUCAGUGAAUCAUCAAAUCUUUGAACGCAAAUUGCGCUCUUGGGUAGCCCUAGGAGCACGCCUCUCUCAGUAUCGGUUCAAUCACCGCUCAGCAGCGCUAUUGAAAUAUAUAGUGUGAUGGCUGGAAAAUGAGAGUCGCCUGGUUUACAGGCGUCUCUUGAAAUCUAUGGAGUGACAGCAACCCCACCUUCGGCUCAUACAUUUAUGUAUGAUAGUUCGUCUCGAACUGUCGACUUGGGAGUGACGUGAAGACUGGCCCUUUGUGGUCUCCUUUCUACGUGUAUCUUUCAGGCGAUAAUUAAAGUUUAGGAUGAAUGAAUGUAGGCGUGGGCCUGUUACGAUGCGUGGCAUUCGUGCUACAAUCGAUGAUUAGUGGAUUUCUACUAUUUCAUCUGAAAUUUUGAUCUGAGAUGAAGCGAGACAACCCCCUGAAUUUAAGCAUAUUAAUAAGGGGAGGAAAAGAAACUAACAAGGAUUCCCCAGUAACGGCGAGUGAAGCGGGAAGAGCUCAAUUUGAAAAUCGAUUACCUAAGCGGGUCAUCGAAUUGUAGCCUAUAGACGUACUAUCAGCUGAAACCUGGGUAUAAGUUCUUUGGAAUGAGGCAUCAUAGAGGGUGAGAAUCCCGUAUAUGACCCAAAGCUUUCAGCGUACGAUGUAUGUUCAUCGAGUCGAGUUGUUUGGGAUUGCAGCUCUAAAUGGGUGGUAAGUUUCAUCUAAAGCUAAAUAAUGGCGAGAGACCGAUAGCGAACAAGUACCGUGAGGGAAAGAUGAAAAGAACUUUGAAAAGAGAGUUAAAAGUACUUGAAAUUGCUAAGAGGGAAGCGCUGAGCAGUAGUGUGUAUGCGUCGUUCAACGUCGUUAGCCUUGCUAGGUGUCGUGUAUAGUUGGAAACUCUAUAUACGGCCUCGAAACGGUGGUUAGCGAUUUCGGACGGCGUGUCAGUCAAGAUCCAUUCGAUGUGUGGGAGAAGGUAGUGGAAAAGGUAGGAGAUCCGUCUCUGUUAUAGUUCCAUUACUCUACCUCGCGUUGGAUGGAGGAAGGAAUAGUGCGCCGCUUGCGGCUUAGCUCCUCGUUCCUAAUCGUGCACGUUGUUCUGACAGCAAUGCUAUCUGGAUGGCGGCGUAAGGUUACUGGGCGGGAGAGUUUUAUGUGCUAUCACGAUCUUGUACGAAAUGCUGCUCAUCGACCCGUCUUGAAACACGGACCAAGGAGUCUAACAUCUAUGCGAGUAUUUGAGUGCAAAACUCUGAUGCGUAAUGAAAGUAAAGGUAGCUUCGCGCUGCUGAGGUAGGAAUCCGGUCAUACGGAGGCACUAUCGACCGAUCAUCACUUGUGAAAGAUUUGAGUAAGAGCAUAUCUGUUGGGACCCGAAAGAUGGUGAUCUAUGCCUGAACAGGGUGAAGCCAGGGGAAACUCUGGUGGAGGCUCGUAGCGAUACUGACGUGCAAAUCGUUCGUCUGAUUUGGGUAUAGGGGCGAAAGACUAAUCGAACCAUCUAGUAGCUGGUUCCCUC